GGAGAAGAUCAGAUGAUCGCUCGCGGAUUUUGAUCCGCGGGAGGAAAGUCCGAGCUCCGCAGGGCAGGAUGGUCGCUAACGGCGACCGGGGGCGACCCCAGGGAAAGUGCCACAGAAAAGAUACCGCCCCGCGUGACAGCGGGGUAAGGGUGAAAAGGCGAGGUAAGAGCUCACCGCUUUUCCGGCGACGGAAAAGGCAGGGUAAACCCCAUCCGGAGCAAGACCAAAUAGGAGAACGCUUGAGGGCGGCCCGCCUGAUGUUCUCGGGUAGCGUCGCUAGAGGCGGCGGGCAACCGCCGUCCCAGAUGAAUGAUCAUCGUUGCGUCCGGGGUAACCCGAACGCAGAACAGAACUCGGCUUACGAUCUUCUCCCGGA
rnacentral:RNase_P_RNA from 1 species